rnacentral:rRNA from 1 species
GACGAACGCUGGCGGCGUGCUUAACACAUGCAAGUCGAACGGAAAGGCCCUGCUUUUGUGGGGUGCUCGAGUGGCGAACGGGUGAGUAACACGUGAGUAACCUGCCCUUGACUUUGGGAUAACUUCAGGAAACUGGGGCUAAUACCGGAUAGGAGCUCCUGCUGCAUGGGGGGGGUUGGAAAGUUUCGGCGGUUGGGGAUGGACUCGCGGCUUAUCCGCUUGUUGGUGGGGUAGUGGCUUACCAAGGCUUUGACGGGUAGCCGGCCUGAGAGGGUGACCGGCCACAUUGGGACUGAGGUACGGACCAGACUCCUACGGGCGGCAGCAGUGGGGAAUAUUGCACAAUGGGCGGAAGCCUGAUGCAGAAACGCCGCGUGCGGGAUGACGGCCUUCGGGUUGUAAACAGAUUUCGACUGUGACGAAGCGUGAGUGACGGUAAUGGGUAAAGAAGCACCGGCUAACUACGUG